GACGAACGCUGGCGGCGUGCUUAACACAUGCAAGUCGAGCGGUAAGGCCUUUCGGGGUCCACGAGCGGCGAACGGGUGAGUAACACGUGGGUGAUCUGCCCUGCACUUCGGGAUAAGCCUGGGAAACUGGGUCUAAUACCGGAUAUGACCUCCUAUCGCAUGGUGGGUGGUGGAAAGAUUUAUCGGUGCAGGAUGGGCCCGCGGCCUAUCAGCUUGUUGGUGGGGUAAUGGCCUACCAAGGCGACGACGGGUAGCCGACCUGAGAGGGUGACCGGCCACACUGGGACUGAGACACGGCCCAGACUCCUAUGGGAGGCAGCAGUGGGGAAUAUUGCACAAUGGGCGAAAGCCUGAUGCAGCGACGCCGCGUGAGGGAUGACGGCCUUCGGGUUGUAAACCUCUUUCAGCAGGGACGAAGCGCAAGUGACGGUACCUGCAGAAGAAGCACCGGCUAACUACGUG
rnacentral:rRNA from 1 species